rnacentral:rRNA from 1 species
GUAGGUGGCAAGCGUUGUCCGGAAUUAUUGGGCGUAAAGCGCGCGCAGGCGGUCCUUUAAGUCUGAUGUGAAAGCCCACGGCUCAACCGUGGAGGGUCGUUGGAAACUGGGGGACGUUGAGUACAGAAGAGGAAAGCGGAAUUCCAAGUGUAGCGGUGAAAUGCGUAGAGAUUUGGAGGAACACCAGUGGCGAAGGCGGCUUUCUGGUCUGUAACUGACGCUGAGGCGCGAAAGCGUGGGGAGCAAACAGGGAUUAGAUACCCUGGUAGUCCACGCCGUAAACGAUGAGUGCUAAGUGUUAGGGGGUUUCCCGCCCCUUAGUGCUGCAGCUAACGCAUUAAGCACUCCGCCUGGGGAUACGGCCGCAAGGCUG